CUGCCCUUCACCUCCUCCUCUCCGCCCACUCUCGCCGCGGUCUCCUGGCGGCGGCGGCUUUGUCUCUUGGGCUGGCCCCUGGCGGCUCCCUCCCCGGAACAGCUGCCACCGAGGGAGGAAGCCGCGCGGUCCAGAGCCCUAGUGCUGAAGCCCCCGAGCCCUCGUCAUCCACCACCACCAUGUAAGGGCCAUGAAAAGGGCUCGUCCUGGCGCAGCGCGGACAUGGAGGAGGACUUAUUCCAGCUAAGGCAGCUGCCGGUGGUGAAAUUCCGUCGCACAGGCGAGAGUGCAAGGUCAGAGGACGACACGGCUUCGGGAGAGCAUGAGGUCCAGAUUGAAGGGGUCCGUGCAGGCCUAGAGGCCGUCGAGCUGGAUGAUGGGGCAGCUGUGCCUAAGGAGUUUGCCAAUCCCACUGACGAUACUUUCAUGGUGGAAGAUGCGGUGGAAGCCAUUGGUUUUGGAAAAUUUCAAUGGAAGCUCUCUGUUCUCACCGGCUUGGCUUGGAUGGCCGACGCCAUGGAGAUGAUGAUCCUCAGCAUCCUUGCGCCGCAGCUGCACUGCGAGUGGCGGCUGCCCAGCUGGCAGGUGGCGUUGCUGACCUCGGUGGUUUUUGUCGGCAUGAUGUCCAGUUCUACCCUCUGGGGAAACAUCUCAGACCAGUAUGGCAGGAAAACAGGGCUGAAGAUCAGUGUGCUCUGGACCCUGUACUAUGGCAUCCUCAGUGCUUUCGCGCCCGUGUACAGCUGGAUCCUGGUGCUCCGGGGCCUGGUGGGCUUCGGGAUCGGAGGGGUCCCCCAGUCGGUGACGCUGUAUGCUGAGUUCCUUCCCAUGAAAGCCAGAGCUAAGUGUAUUUUGCUGAUUGAGGUGUUCUGGGCCAUCGGGACAGUGUUCGAGGUUGUCCUGGCUGUGUUUGUGAUGCCCAGCCUGGGCUGGCGUUGGCUGCUCAUCCUCUCGGCUGUCCCACUCCUCCUCUUUGCUGUUCUGUGUUUUUGGCUGCCAGAGAGCGCAAGGUAUGAUGUGCUGUCCGGAAACCAGGAAAAGGCCAUCGCCACCUUAAAGAGGAUAGCCACAGAAAACGGAGCCCCCAUGCCUCUGGGGAAACUCAUCAUCUCCAGACAGGAAGACCGAGGCAAAAUGAGGGACCUCUUCACACCCCAUUUUAGAUGGACAACCUUGCUGCUGUGGUUUAUAUGGUUUUCCAAUGCAUUCUCUUACUAUGGAUUAGUUCUGCUCACCACUGAGCUCUUCCAGGCAGGAGAUGUCUGCAGCAUCUCCAGCCGGAAGAAGGCGGUAGAGGCAAAAUGCAGCCUGGCCUGUGAGUACCUGAGUGAGGAGGAUUACAUGGACCUGCUGUGGACCACCCUGUCUGAGUUCCCAGGUGUCCUUGUGACCCUCUGGAUCAUCGACCGCCUGGGCCGCAAGAAGACCAUGGCCCUGUGCUUCGUCAUCUUCUCCCUCUGCAGCCUCCUGCUGUUUAUUUGUGUUGGAAGAAAUAUGCUCACUCUGUUACUCUUCAUUGCAAGAGCGUUUAUUUCUGGAGGCUUCCAAGCAGCCUAUGUUUACACACCUGAGGUCUACCCCACGGCGACCCGAGCUCUGGGCCUGGGCACCUGCAGCGGCAUGGCAAGGGUGGGUGCGCUCAUCACCCCGUUCAUUGCUCAGGUGAUGCUGGAAUCGUCCGUGUACCUGACGCUGGCGGUUUACAGCGGCUGCUGCCUCCUGGCUGCCCUGGCCUCCUGCUUUUUGCCCAUUGAGACCAAAGGCCGUGGACUGCAGGAGUCCAGCCAUCGGGAGUGGGGCCAGGAGAUGGUCGGCCGAGGGACGCACGGCACAGGUGUCGCUAGGUCGAACUCGGGCUCUCAGGAGUAGUGACCGAUGGGGGGCUGAGCUGGUUUUUGAGGCUGUAGAGAGCGGGGAGCUGCUGGAGCCCGGCUGGGGCACCGAUCGUCACUGCCCACGUCAAGAACUCACCCAAGGGUGCCACCUGGACCAACGAGGUUUUGUGUCUUGACUGUUUUCUCAUAUUUAUCAAGAUCCAUCCGGGGCUGGGGAGGCAUUUGCUCUGGGGGGUUCUCCGUAUAUGUGUGUGGGGGGUUGUUAAUAACCUGUGGAUCUGCAUGGGAAAACUGCCACCUCAGCAGUGCCUGGUGACGCCGGUAGCCAGCUGGACACCAUCCAGAGUCAGCCGGUCACAGCCUCGGUGAACAACAACCGAAAGAUCUUUGUAGAUACACUCCAGGCCGGGACCCCUGUGAGACCUGCCACUCACCCGCUGGACCUGUUCUUAGGUUUCUCCUGCAUCCCCGGCCCCAGGCUUUCUUCUUUGAAAUUGCAGGUGACCUGGGUGUGGCCUGAGCAGCUUUUUCUCGGGUCUGAGAAAUGCUCCCAGGGAAGGGGCCCCUCGCUUUGCCUUCCCAGGGCUGAGUAGCGGAGACUCUGGCCGAUGGACAUGCAUUUGAACUUGAGCCGCGUGCCUCCACCUGGCCCCCUCUUGGAGUUGCUGUCCCUGGCUCCAGGGGAUCCAAAUGUGGCCACGAGGACAGCUGGGCUUGCACUAGAUGACAGCCUCAGAAAGCUUUUACCCCCAGGAAUUGGGGAUGGAGGCAAAAGGGAGGUGAGAACCAAGCCCACGACCAAAGCAGGGGCCUCCCCUUCGGAAGCAGCAAAAGUCGCGCCAGGGGGCUUCUUUUCUGGCCCCCUCGUUGGUCAGGCUGAUUGGUGAGUCUUGGGGCAAGAAAACAGUUAAGUCAGGUUUCAGUGCUUUGGAGUUUGAGCGCGGUGGGUGGCCAAACGGACCGAGAAACAGAAAGAUGCUCCCCCCAGCCACCUGCUCCCGUGCGGGCCAGGGGACCAGGAAUCCUUCCUCCCUGGAUUCUCUGCCAUCCCUGCUGUCAAGGGGUGGCUUGGUCUUUCCAUAGAGGCAGCUCCUGGGGUUCCAGCAAUGGACCCCAUGGCAUGGAUACCAUGGGUAGGGAGGAACGGGCGGGCCCAGAUGUGUGAAACAUGUACAUUUUCAAAGAAAGAGAAGGGAGGUCAACUGGAUUUGGGGGUUGGCCUCCAGAGGAAGGGCUGAUGCUGUGUCUCAGCAGACAACAUCCACCUCCAGGAUUUGGUUUCCACGAGCCUUUUCCCCGCCAGGAAGGCGGGAACUUAGGGAAGGAGAGACGAAGAUGCCAGAUCCCAUCAAAGGCCAGAGGAGACUGACCGUCUGCUUGGAGAUACCUGCUUGAAGUGAACAUUCCGAGGAAGCCAAAUGUCUGGCCAGACACUGCCGGAUGAGCAAGUCCACUUGCUUCACCCUCAAGUAACCUGGAGGAUCUGGGGGCUGCUGUGGGGAAGGAGGGCUUGGUGCGCAGAGAUGUUUUCCAGGGGCUGGAGUAAAGAGGCUUGUAGUUGUGGGUUCUCUCUUGUUGAGAAAAUGAAAGGUGAAAACUCUUGGCCUUCUAAACUGCCUGCCCUUGUAUAAAAUCGAUAUUAUUGAAUGAUACAAGAGCUGCCACAGAAGUUGCCCAAACCUCUGAAAUGCGUGAGACCUUUAGCUGAAGACCUUUGUAUCUGAUUUUGAACUGUCCAGAAGCUCCCCUUUUCAGUACUGGAAAUGUCACCUGUUUCUCUCAGUGUUAGGAAAGAUUUUAGAAAAUGGCAAAAGAUGUUCAGUGUAGCUAGGGUUAUACGGUUUCUUUCUUUCCCUUCAAGUAUGCUCAGGAAUACAUAAAUGGGAUGUGCUGGCAGUGAGAUAAAAGAGGAUCUUAGAGAUGGGCUUUGAAAUGAAUAUGGAUGUGCAUUAUUUUUAAAUAAUGUUAAGCAACAGAGAGGCUUGAAGGAUAAGAUCAUUCCUUGGUUACUAUAGUAAGCAUCAAAGGACUGGGAUAACCUUGAGCUGCAAGCAACAGUAAAACCUACUGAUAGUAGUUUAACCCAUUAGAAUAUUAAUUGUUCACUUGACAACAAGCCCAGAGUCAGAGAGUUCCAGGGAAGGUUCAGCAGCUCAACAAUGUCAUCAAGGACCCAGCUUCUUUUUGCCUUUCCUCUCUACCGUCCUCUGCAUGUUGCCCGUUGACCCUAUGUGUGAAACCUCAUGGUCACAAAAUAGCUGUCAAAGUGCCAGGCAUCAAGUUUUUUUCAAAGAUGUUAGAAUGGGGAAGGAGCAGUCACAGAAGGUUUUCUUUUUAAAGGGUCUGUUGUUUUUGGUUGGAAAGGGAAAUCCCGCAGCAGAUUUACCAUUGCUUUGCACUGGUCAAACCUGGGUCGCAUGCCCAUCCCAGCAUGAGCCCUCCCCUAGGGCUGGGGAAGGAACGGCCUACAAUCUCCCACAGGAUCAAGAGAUACCCACAGCCUCUUGAACACAAAAUUGAGAUUCUGGUAGAAGGAAGACAAUAGUGGUGGGAUGGGAGAUAGUGGAGAGAAACCUUGACAGAGUUCUCAUCAAGGCUGUUUUAGUUGCGAGGAAUAGAAAUUGUACUCAGAUUAAUUCAAAUCAAGCGGUACAGCUUUAAUAUAAGGCCGGGAACAGUAGUUAAUUUCCUGGGGACUAUAAAUGCAGGAACCGGAAGGGUAAGGAACAACAGGAAGAGGGGAAGGUUGUGGCAGAGUAUGGGACAUAGAGGGCGGCUACGACUCAGCUCCAGUUGAUUUUGUUGUACCAUAGAAUCGCCUGAUUUUCAAGACAAGAAUCUGGAUUCUUAUGUGAAAUCUCCAAAUUUUAGUAUGUUAGAUCAAUUUUUUUUAAUUUUAUUAUGUUGGAUUGUUUGAAUUUUUGAAUGUGUGGCUCCAAUAAAGUUCAUCUGUAGGCCAGA